ensembl:snoRNA
UAGGCCCUGAAUCAAGACCAGUAGUUUGCUGUUGUAGCUGUUGGUUUCAAACAGGAGCUAAGAGUGAUGUCUUCCCUGUGGUCUGUUGGCUGUUUGAUACUGCUGUGUGAGUGGCCAAUUCACUUGGAAGAAACAUAG